AGUGAACGCUGGCGGUAGGCCUAACACAUGCAAGUCGAACGGCAGCACAGUAAGAGCUUGCUCUUACGGGUGGCGAGUGGCGGACGGGUGAGGAAUACAUCGGAAUCUACUUUUUCGUGGGGGAUAACGUAGGGAAACUUACGCUAAUACCGCAUACGACCUACGGGUGAAAGCAGGGGAUCUUCGGACCUUGCGCGAUUGAAUGAGCCGAUGUCGGAUUAGCUAGUUGGCGGGGUAAAGGCCCACCAAGGCGACGAUCCGUAGCUGGUCUGAGAGGAUGAUCAGCCACACUGGGACUGAGACACGGUCCAGACUCCUACGGGAGGCAGCAGUGGGGAAUAUUGGACAAUGGGCGCAAGCCUGAUCCAGCCAUGCCGCGUGGGUGAAGAAGGCCUUCGGGUUGUAAAGCCCUUUUGUUGGGAAAGAAAAGCAGCAGGUUAAUACCCCGCUGCUCUGACGGUACCCAAAGAAUAAGCACCGGCUAACUUCGUG
rnacentral:rRNA from 1 species